rfam:Oryza sativa (indica cultivar-group) chromosome 2, whole genome shotgun sequence.
ACUCCGCAAACCCUGGAUUUCCGUGUCCAACUUUAACUGUCCGUCUUAUAUAAAAUUUUUUUAUAAUUCGUAUUUUUAUUUUUGUUAGAUGAUAAAACAUAAUUAAUAUUUUAUGAGUGUCUUGUCUUUUUUUUCAUAAUUUUUUCAAAUAAAACGGACGGUCAAAUGUUGGACACGGAAACUAGGGUUUGUCUUUUU